rnacentral:rRNA from 1 species
AGCGAACGCUGGCGGCAGGCCUAACACAUGCAAGUCGAACGCACCUUCGGGUGAGUGGCGGACGGGUGAGUAACACGUGGGAACGUACCUUUAGGUUCGGAAUAACGCAGGGAAACUUGCGCUAAUACCGAAUGUGCCCUUCGGGGGAAGGAUUUAUCGCCUUUAGAGCGGCCCGCGUUAGAUUAGCUAGUUGGUGAGGUAAUGGCCCACCAAGGCUACGAUCUAUAGCUGGUCUGAGAGGANGAUCAGCCACACUGGGACUGAGACACGGCCCAGACUCCUACGGGAGGCAGCAGUGGGGAAUCUUGCGCAAUGGGCGAAAGCCUGACGCAGCCAUGCCGCGUGAAUGAUGAAGGU